AUGGCACCCCAUCUUAUUAUGUAUACAAGGAGAACAACAAAAAACAUGAGGAAGACUACUAACACAGAUACAAAUGACUCUCAGGAAGCAGAAAAGCCAGCACCAGCCAAACGGACAGGAAAGAAAAGGUCGAUGAACUCAGACUUACAAAUUGCGCAGGAAGCAGAAGCUCUCCUUAAGGGACUGUCAACUCCAGACACUGAAAAUGAAGGCCGUCGGACAACAAGAUCUCGAACUCGAGGUUCAACCACACCUGUUGCCACCCCUCCGCCACCUAAAAGAGAACGCAAGUCUGCAUCUGGAACCAGAGGAGGUAGAAGAGGGCGGCCGAAGAAGGAAGAAGUAGAAGUAGAAGAGCCAGAAGAAAAUGAUACUGCAGAAGAGAAGAAAGAAGAAAAUAAUGUUGACGGAAAGGAAAACAAUGUUGAUGCCAAGAAGAAAGAUGAAGAACCCGAAGAGAAGGAAGAAAUAGAUGGUGCCGAAGAAAGCACGAAAGAACCAGAAGCAAACUCGGAAAGUGAGAAAGAAGUCUCGACAACUGUUGCGGAAGCAGGAGAAAAAGACAAGAGCAAAGAGGAGAAAGCAGAACCAAUGGAAGUAGACGCACCUGAUGCACCUUCAAAACCAACUCCUACACCAACCCCUGAAUCAAAUAGUUCUUGUGUCAAGAGUGAAGAAAAAAGUAAAGAGCCGGAAAAGAAAGAAGAGAAGCCAGUUGAACCCCCAGUAGAAGAAACUAAAAAAGAAAAUACAGAAAAUACAUCACCAGUUGUUGAAAGCGGAGACCAAAAACCUGCCGUAGAAGAAGAAAAGUCAGUUAAAUCAGCUGUUUCAGAGGAAAGUGCACCUCCGAAAACAGAAGCAGACCCUGUGUCAGAGCCUGUUAGCUGUCCGUUAAUCCCUCCCACGGCGAACUAAACUUCCUCAUUCUCUGUUGACUGCAUUUUGUACAUUAUUUCCUGAUUCCAAAAAGUUCAUCUGUAGUACUAAUGACGCAAGUUUUUUGUUCGUUUUCCUUUAUUUCAUGUCGAAAUUGUAAAGAAGAGCACGUUGAACCUUACCAAAAUUGAACUGGAAACUACGUAUUAUAUUUUGAAUCAGCUUGUAACUAAUCUUUAUUAAGAGGCUUCGGUCCUCUGUAUGUAAUAUUUUUAAACCCAUAAUUUUACACUAUGAUGUUAAUGUCUAGUAAAUUAAUGUUGCAUCUUGUCCUACGAGGCUAAUUCUUUACUUUUUUUCUGUGGGUAGCGUUCGACCAAAAUCCUUGUACAUUAAUUUCUUUUUGUCAAGCGCCCCUCAUGGAUCUCUUAAUGCUGAUCAAGAAGACAAACCUCUUGAUCCUAGCUGCUUUCUCUUGAUGAGAAAUAUUUGAAAGUUUGUGAACAACAUCAUACACGAGAGUAAAGAAUCAGAUCUCCUUGAUAUAUUUCUCAUUU
rnacentral:lncRNA from 1 species